rnacentral:rRNA from 1 species
GGACGCAUCACUGGUGUUCGGGUUGUCAUGCCAAUGGCACUGCCCGGUAGUUAAAUGCGGAAGAGAUAAGUGCUGAAAGCAUCUAAGCACGAAACUUCCCCCGAGAUGAGUUCUCCCUGACUCCUUGAGAGUCCUGAAGGAACGUUGAAGACGACGACGUUGAUAGGCCGGGUGUGUAAGCGCAGCGAUGCGUUGAGCUAACCGGUACUAAUGAACCGUGAGGCUUAACCUUACAACGCCGAAGCUGUU